UCCGGCGUCUGGCCUGUGGUGUGGUGGAGGCUCUUGGCAGUCUCAAGGAACCAGGCAAGAGGGUCGUUAACCUUCUGACGCCGCUUGGGCCCGGUCAGCGUUACAAGGUCUUUUUCCUGUGGCCUUAGCCUUGGGAAUGAGGCUGUUGAGUUAACUUGAGCUCCUUGUGGCCGUCCAGGCGGCACUGUCUGCCACAGGAGUUACGGGACCGCGCUUUCGUAAUUUCCUAAGUUUCUGAGGAGAUGAGAGGGUCGAGACUGUCCGGGUAAGCAGAAUGAAGACCAAAAGACAUUCAGAAAGGAGAACAGACAAAAGAGAAGUGAUAGUGAACAAGUGCUAGAAAUACAAGACAGAAACAAGAUUUGGGAAAAGUUUGGGACAGAUGCAAUCUAUCAUUCGAUAAAUACAUUUAGAGGAAGCCUGAGAAAUGACGGUACAAUUUGAAUGUGGAAAGCAGGAAUCAAGGAAGAAAGAACAAUAGACUGACAGGAUACCAGUUCUACUCCUGGUUCUAGCAACCCAGUGUAUGACUUUGGAAAUGAACCUGCACUAUUUAGUUCCUUGAAAAACUCCUGCUUCGGGCUGUGCGUCUUACUGGGGUUGAUGAAUAUGGUCACCAAACUUAUAAGAGGUAAAGUGACAGAAGCCCACUCCGCCACCCCCCUCCCCUCAGCUCAGGCAGACUGUGGGGAUCCAAGAUGGUGCUCCCUGGGCCAUUUCCUCACUAUUGUGGGCAGGGAUGGGAGAGGGAAUUCAUGUAUUGGAUUACACAUUUCUUGAGGACAAAGACUACAUCUAAUUAACAUAUUUUUAGCAGAAUCCAGGAUAAUGCCAUGAAUAUCUUAACAUGUGUUAGUGACUGAGAGGCUUAUUCCUUUUGCACUCUUUCAAGCAGGCACAUUCUGGAAUAUACUCCUGGAAGAGAUGGUAAUUGGGGAAUGUUCUGGGGAAAUGAGGACAGCACUGCAGCGGGAAAGAAAAUCUGGUACAGAGAUACUGAUUUAAUGUAUAAUAUGCCCAAGUGAUGGAAGGAUGGAUUCUCAAUGGCUUUCCUCUUUCUAUUAAAAAAGGGUGGGGGGAAGAUAAAUAAUCUGAUGGCACUAUCACUCCCCUCCUCUCCUUUCCCUGGUAAGGGGUGUGUCUUAGGAAGCACAUCUGACCCUGGAUGUAGACACUGACUAAGAAGAGAGCAUCUUGCCCCAUGUGUGUUACUGCCUACGGGAUGAGCUUUACCCGAGGCCUGGAAAGGGUCCUAGGAAGAGAUUGCCUCUGCCUCACAUCUUCUGCUGUUCCUUUGGGUUCCACAGGUAAGCCGGGCGCCUUCCUGGGCCCCUCUACUGGUUAGUCAGGUGGUCUGGGAAGGCUGCUGUGGAAUGGCCAGCAGUGGAUGCUGAGGGAAUUGAGCCCAGUCAUGACAACUUUGAUUCCGUGAGAGAUUUUGAACUAGAGGGAAUUAUCUACUUAGUUCUUAUUCUACCUUUAAAAGAGAGUUAGGUGGGGCUUCCCUGGUGGCGCAGUGGUUGAGAGUCCGCCUGCCGAUGCAGGGGACACGGGUUCGUGCCCCGGUCCGGGAAGAUCCCACAUGCCGCGGAACGCCUGGGCCCGUGAGCCAUGGCCGCUGAGCCUGCGUGUCCGGAGCCUGUGCUCUGCAACGGGAGAGGCCACAACGGUGAGAGGCCCGCAUACCACAAAAAAAAAAAAAAAAAAAAAAAAAAAGAGAGAGUU